UACGUAGGGGGCGAGCGUUGUCCGGAUUUAUUGGGCGUAAAGAGCUCGUAGGCGGUUCGAUAAGUCGGAUGUGAAAUCUCCACGCUCAACGUGGAGGGGCCAUUCGAUACUGUCGUGACUCGAGUCCGGUAGGGGAGUGUGGAAUUCCCGGUGUAGCGGUGAAAUGCGUAGAUAUCUGCAGGAACACCCGUGGCGAAAGCGGCGCGCUGGACCACUACUGACGCUGAGGAACGAAAGCUAGGGGAGCAAACAGG
rnacentral:rRNA from 1 species